GGGGGAUAUUGCGCAAUGGGGGCAACCCUGACGCAGCAACGCCGCGUGAAGAAUGAAGGUUUUCGGAUUGUAAACUUCUUUUAUUAAGGACGAAAUUUGACGGUACUUAAUGAAUAAGCUCCGGCUAACUACGUGCCAGCAGCCGCGGUAAUACGUAGGGAGCAAGCGUUGUCCGGAUUUACUGGGUGUAAAGGGUGCGUAGGCGGCUUUGCAAGUCAGAUGUGAAAUCUAUGGGCUCAACCCAUAAACUGCAUUUGAAACUGUAGAGCUUGAGUGAAGUAGAGGCAGGCGGAAUUCCCCGUGUAGCGGUGAAAUGCGUAGAGAUGGGGAGGAACACCAGUGGCGAAGGCGGCCUGCUGGGCUUUAACUGACGCUGAGGCACGAAAGCGUGGGUAGCAAACAGGAUUAGAUACCCUGGUAGUCCACGCUGUAAACGAUGAUUACUAGGUGUGGGGGGUCUGACCCCUUCCGUGCCGGAGUUAACACAAUAAGUAAUCCACCUGGGGAGUACGGCCGCAAGGUUGAAACUCAAAGGAAUUGACGGGGGCCCGCACAAGCAGUGGAGUAUGUGGUUUAAUUCGAAGCAACGCGAAGAACCUUACCAGGUCUUGACAUCCAACUAACGAAGUAGAGAUACAUUAGGUGCCCUUCGGGGAAAGUUGAGACAGGUGGUGCAUGGUUGUCGUCAGCUCGUGUCGUGAGAUGUUGGGUUAAGUCCCGCAACGAGCGCAACCCUUGCUAUUAGUUGCUACGCAAGAGCACUCUAAUAGGACUGCCGUUGACAAAACGGAGGAAGGUGGGGACGACGUCAAAUCAUCAUGCCCCUUAUGACCUGGGCUACACACGUACUACAAUGGAUGUUAACAGAGGGAAGCAAGACAGUGAUGUGGAGCAAACCCCUAAAAACAUUCUCAGUUCAGAUUGCAGGCUGCAACCCGCCUGCAUGAAGAUGGAAUUGCUAGUAAUCGCGGAUCAGAAUGCCGCGGUGAAUACGUUCCCG
rnacentral:rRNA from 1 species